UUAAGAAAAAUCGACCUCCUUCUCAAUCUUAUUUCACCGUCGCUUCUUCCUCUCUAACUUAUUCUCUGCAAUCGAGCUUUGUUGUUCGUAUGAAGAUGGUAAUAUAUAGAUGAUGUUGUUACAGUGAGGAUAGUGGUAUGUGUUUUGUGGAAACGUAUGGAGAGAAACUUGUUAUUAAUUUCGGUUAGAGCAAAAUGAAAGAUUGGAGACGCAAAAAUCUAAGGAGACGUAAACAGUGUUGAAGAUGUUGAUGGGGGUGGAUUACUGAUGUGAUGGUUGGUAAUUGACCAAAUGAUUUUGGUGGUUUUUGAUGUUGUUGCUGGAUUUGAAGAUGUUAAUUGAUGUGGUAAUGGACCAAAGUUAUGGUGUGGUUUUGAAGAUGCUGCUGGUUUUGAAGAUUUUGAUGGAGAUUGAAAUCGAUCAAGUUUUUAGAUACAAAAAUGGACCAAAUUGUACUGUUGUAUACAGGUCCAUAGCAUUCAGAACAUGACUAUUGCUGGCUCCUAAAGGUUCACCAUUCCAGACCCAAGGUCUACUUGGUGCCAAAUCUGUCUGGUUAACUGUGGUUAAAAUGCUUGAGUUACAAGGGAAGGGUAUUUAUGUGAAAUUCUGAGAGCGUUUUUUUGGAAAGUGUUAAGUGGCAGAUGACCAUUUUGUAAUUAUAAUUGAAAAGCAGUAUGAUCAAUUUGUAACCCAAUUAUAAAAAGUAGGACCAUUUUGUAAUUGCGCUGACGAUAUAAUGAAUAUCGUCGGCGACAUAAAACUCAUCGCUCGAUUUACAUAAUAUCGCCAGCGAUAUUAUGAUUAUCGUCCAGUAAUUAUUUUGCAACAAUUAUUUCCCCUUUGUUGGUUCAUA